GCCUCUGUAGCUCAGCUGGUUAGAGCGCUGCACCGGAAUCGCAGGGCCGUAGGUUCAAUUCCUACCGGAGGAC
rnacentral:tRNA from 1 species